CGAAGGGCUAUAUAAAUAAAUUUGAUUUGAUUUGAUUUGAUUUACUCAUAGAAUUUCAUUGAAAAGCCACUUAUCAGAUCACCAGUCCUAUGCAGCAGGUCUGUCUGGCCCUGCACCAUGCUUAAACGUACAUGUCAUAUUCUGGUGUAAAAAUUGUAAGAUGAUGUGACUUCUGUAAAGCAAACCAAUUAGACUUAUUAAGCCUGAGCUCCCGCUUGCUAAACUGUAUGUGAACAGAACAACUUCUUAAAUCACUAACAAUUCACCCUGCCUGCUGAUACCCUAAAUGAUCUAUAUCCUAUGCAUGAGCUUUGGAAGGAAUGCAUGUCUGUCUAAACCAUUUUUCACAAUGUUAAUUUGGUGGAGCCCAGAGAGGCAAGUAUUAAGACAAAGUCAACUAUGUCUCAAUAACAGCGCAGAGUAAGCUGGUGGGGACAGGGCGCUCUAGCUGAACAUUCCCAGCAUGUGUUUUUGUGUGGGACUGACUGACUUUUGGCACGGGCUGGGAAACCUUUGGCUAACCACCCACUGUUCAACUGGUUUACAAUAAGCAGGGUCCUUCCUACUUUGCACUGCCCAGUGCCCAUUUCAGAUGUGUGCUGAGGUUAUGUUUUUGCCAAUAGACUGAAUCAUUGACAGUUCAGAUAUUUUUCUGUUGACCCUCGUUUGUUAAAUUGUCUCUUUUUAUUAUUUUGAUUACAGAUUGGUCUUGACUUCACACCUUGGUAUGCCCUCACUUUUCAGGAUAGAUAAGAGCAGUUGACUGUUUUCAACAAGCAAAUACAAAUGUACAAGGAGCUUUGCCAGUAUGAGUUCAUCGUGGAUAGUGCCUUGAUCCAUAUUGCUAUGUGUACUAGACACGCCAUUACAUGAAUGUUAUCAGAUUGUGGGCAAGUGCAAUGAGCAGUGUCCUUGGCAGGGAUAAGAACAGGCUUUGCAUGGAAUGUCUCACUGUAACUGGAUAUUACGGAGCGUUAAUAUUUGUAACCAGUAUAUUUCUCCUGACCGUUUCUUGUUGUGUAACCAAAGUUGAGGGCAUUUCCUCUGUGACGCAGGAACAUCCAUUCCCAAUCAGCUGCAAAGGUCACCAUAGAUACUCUGAAAGAACAGUGUGGGUGUAUUAAAAUCAGGAUUGCAUAAGAGGACUGCCUGACUGCUGAAGUGAUGAAUGUGUUUUUAGAAGGCCUUCUAAAAAACACUCGUGCUUCAAUGCACAACUUUGCAGGGAAACCAUCAUUGGCCGUGGAAGAAGUGCAGGCAGGGUACUUCUCCUCUCCAGCUGUCUCUGCAGGAAUGAACAGAGAGCCAAACCUGAUUCCAUUGGAACACCUGUGUCUGGAGACAGACUCUCUUGUCUUGGAAGCAGAAAAACAUGUGGGUUAUCAUCAUUUGGAGUGCAACAUUAUGGAAAGCAGCAACCUGGUUGUUUUGAAUCGUUAAAUGUAUUCUAUAUCUCCCCUCUCCAGUACAGGAAUGAACCUAAGAACACACUUCUUGUCUGUGAGUGCAUUGCUCAAGUCAAUGUAAUCACACCUCAAAUGGUUAUUCAUGCCAGCACAGAGAAUGCCCUCUGAUUGUUCCUUGGGUCACACACAUCACACUAAAUGUAUAGCUCUAAUUCUUGGCUUUUUGUAAAUGAAUUCAUAUUGUGUUCUCUCAUGCUGUAUCUCUGAAAAUGAAAUAGUGAAAUAAAAUGGAGACUGGUGUUUGUGCAUGUU